AAAUCAUUUUUUUUGAUUAAGGCAAGACUGGAUUUAUUUCGGUUUUUACAAAGAUCUGAACUGAAAAACUUAAUGAAGAGGAAGGAUACAAGAUAUUAAUAUCAAAGCCUGGCUAGAGAAAAAGAUAAAGUAAAAUGAAAAUGUUAGCAAGUUUCUACAUCCCUACCUUCAAUUAUAAAAUAUGCGGGCCUGCAUGCAUGUAGAUUAUGAAUCGAAUAUUUGUGAUCCAGUUGACUUUGGUAAUGACGUUUUCUUAAUAGAUACCAAUUCUUCAAAUAACAUCGACAUAUAAUCUGCCAUACACACCAGCACCACCCUUUAUCGACUUCCCCGUCAGACCUGGUGCAGAGUACCCGCAAAACUAUUAUCAAAACAAAAUAUUUUUUAUGCAUCUUGGGAGAAAUGCAACACGUCCGCCCCAAAAGAAGAAACCUUCGAAGACAGCGCAAGAUGUAGCACAUGACGUAAUGGACUCAGUUAAAGGUUUUGGAAUCAAAGUAGGUGAUGGUGUACAUAACCUUCGUACUAAAGUUGGGGAUGGAGUCCAUGAAAUUGGAAGCAAAGUAGGUAGUAAAGUACAACAUGCGUGGCAUAACACAGUCGACUGGUUUAAACACGUUUUUGGUUAGGACUUCGUGAAGCCAGACUUCUUUACUGUUUUCGUAUUAUAUUCCAAUUGAAUUGGAAUUUGUCCCAGAUUAGAUAUAUGUACUGUUGACCUGGACUGGUGCCAUUGUGAAAACGACACGUCACUAAACUGCUUGUUUUGAUGCGUUUUACUGCAGAUUUUUCUUUAAUCAUAAAUGUCUUUUUUAAAUUUCAUUAAAACUC